rnacentral:tRNA from 2 species
GCUCCGGUGGUGUAGUCCGGUCAAUAUCGCCGAAAGCAUCUCGGCCUUUCGAGCCGAGGACCCGGGUUCGAAUCCCGGCCGGAGCA